CUGCUGCCUUCCGUAGGAGUUUGGGCCGUGUCUCAGUCCCAAUGUGGCCGUCCACCCUCUCAGGCCGGCUACUGAUCGUCGCCUUGGUGGGCCGUUACCCCGCCAACAAGCUAAUCAGACGCGGGUCCAUCUUACACCACCGGAGUUUUUCACACAAAUCCAUGCGGCUUCGUGCGCUUAUGCGGUAUUAGCACCUAUUUCUAAGUGUUAUCCCCCAGUGUAAGGCAGGUUACCCACCCGUUACUCACCCGUCCGCCACUAAGAUUUUA
rnacentral:rRNA from 1 species